UGUCAAGUGUUAUGCAUUGAACCAGGGUUCUUUAAAACAAAUGUGACUAACACAAAGCUGAUUAAAGAUGACCUGAGCAAGAUCUGGGACAGAUUACCUCAGGAUGUGAAGGAUGACUAUGGGCCUGGUUUUCUGGAGAGGGCAUUCAGCAAACUAGAUGGAAGGUUUAACCAAUUGCUGGAUGGGGACCUGAUGAAGGUGGUCAGCUGUAUGGAACAUGCCAUUUCCGCUGUUCAUCCUCGCACUCGGUAUUCUGUUGGAUGGGAUGCAAAGUUCUUGUGGUUGCCUCUGUCGUACCUGCCAUCCUGCAUUACAGAUAUUUUUUCCUCAAAGAUGCUCCAAGAGAUAAAUGUGUCUGUACCAUAGUCAAUUCAACGUGACUGUAAUCACACGAACACAUCAAGAGCAUUAUGACCAUGUAAUCUGAGCUCUGGGUGUUAUGUCACUGUGCUAUACAAUACUAAUAAGUAAUUGCAUUAAGAUGUUCAGUAUGUGGAUGCU